rnacentral:rRNA from 1 species
GUGAGGAAUAUUGCGCAAUGGAGGCAACUCUGACGCAGCCAUGCCGCGUGCAGUAAGAAGGCGCUACGCGUUGUAAACUGCUUUUAACCGGGAAGAAACCCCAGGACGUGUCCUGGGUUGACGGUACCGGAGGAAUAAGCACCGGCUAACUUCGUGCCAGCAGCCGCGGUAAUACGAAGGGUGCAAGCGUUAUCCGGAUUCAUUGGGUUUAAAGGGUGCGUAGGCGGAGCGUUAAGUCAGUGGUGAAAUCCUGCAGCUUAACUGUAGACUUGCCAUUGAUACUGGCGCUCUUGAGUGCGCUUGAAGUGGGCGGAAUGUGCCGUGUAGCGGUGAAAUGCUUAGAUAUGGCACAGAACACCAAUUGCGAAGGCAGCUCACUAAGGCGAUACUGACGCUGAGGCACGAAAGCGUGGGGAUCGAACAGGAUUAGAAACCCGGGUAGUCC